rnacentral:sRNA from 1 species
CGCUCACCAUGGCGCGGAUUCCUAGUUUGCCCCGCUCUCCUCACAGCUCCUAGUUGAUGGUCAAAACUGCUUUCCUCAGAUUCAGCAGGCCUAUGCCCAGUUCUUGAUACUGUGGCAGCUGAGUGCUGUCAAGGUCCCAUCAAGAUAGGGAAAGUGAGGAAGCCAGCCUGCGAAGUGAAAGGAACUUAUUGGGUGAGUGGCACAGCAAUAAACCGAAGCAUUCUCAUAACUCUCUGUUUGGAGCAAUGACACACAGUGGCUGCCAUAUGAUUCUUGUACAACAUUUUGUUCAAAUGGUUGUCAGCCCUUCCCAAUCUCUUCGAUGCUAAAUGUGGCUUGCAAACAAAGCUCAUGAAAAAAAAAUGGACAACUAGGACUAAGGGGUAGGUAAUCCUGGAAAUGCCCUGUAUGAAAUGCCGACAGGAAGUUGUGAUAGGUACCCAUAGAUUAUCAGUUGUAUAAUAAAGCUCCUACUAUGUUCCCACAUUUUAGGGGCAUAUCCAAGGCUGCCUGGAUAAAACUGAUACAGCAUCUGAUACUGGAGUCCAGCUCUACUGAGUUCAGAUCUUGAGGAGGGGUACAGUUGAAGAAGGAAGAAUGGAGACACUCACAGGGAUGUGCUGAUCACACUGUCUUCUCUCAGAGAGGACAUAUUUUAUUUAUAUUUUCAGCACUGAAACAAAUAGGUACAGGAAAGCAUGUGUUGCAUGGGUUUUACAUAACCAAUUUCCAAGAACUUUCAAGAUCACAUUACAAUGUUCUUAAAACUUUCUACCCACAUUCUCCUAACAUGUCCUGCCAACCUGACACUAGUUCUACUUCUAUAAAAAUUAAACAAGGUUCAUCUGAGCUUUAUGCUGAUUCCAUUGUGAGGCUCAAAAAUGCUAUUGAGAAAUAAGUAAAAUGGGAUCAAAUUCAAGUUAUUAUUAAAACAGCUGAAUUUUGAUGUUUGUCUAGGUUAGGGUUUCACUGCUGUGAACAGACACCAUGACCAAGGCCACUCUUAUAAGGACAUUUAAUUGGGGCUGGCUUACAGGUUCAGAGGUUCAGUCCAUUAUCAUCAAGGCAGGAACAUGGUGGCAUCCAGACAGGGUGCAGGCACAGCUGAGAAUUCUACUUCUUCAUCUGAAGGCUGCUAGAAUAAUACUGGCAUACAGACAACUAGGAUGAGUGUCUUAAAGCCCACAUCCACGGUGACACAACUACUCCAACAGAGCCAUACCUUCUAAUAGUGCCAUUCCCUUGGCCAAGCAUAUACAAACCAUACCACCAGUGCAGAUGCCAAGGAUUAAUCAGGCCUCACAGAAAAAUAAGAAAUGUUAUGGACUUUCUAAAUUAUAUAGAAAAAUGGAGACCUAAAACACAGAACAAAAUUAUCUGCUUUAGAAAUCUGUACUGUUCAAAGACAUGUGCCUGCAAAAUAUUACAAUUGCCACCAACCUGGUCACUUAAACUAUAUAAAUUGCCCUUAUAACAAAUAAAUACUUCAAAGAGUUCAUGGUUUAUGCCUUAAAUCCAAGAAAACACUGGGCAAUCUAAAUAUAAGGACAGCUAUGCUGGUCUAGCAACUAUAUCAAUAUCAACCAAGAGCUGAGAAAUGGAUUAAGGCCAUCCACAGAAAUUAAAGUGUUAAAUCCCAAAGCACUAAUAUCUGUGCUAGCUUCAUAUUGUAAUCCAUCUAUUCUUUAUUAUAAGCUGGUAUACACACACACACACACACACACACACACACACACACACACACUCACACACACAGAGUGCUGUUGUUGACAUUUCUUGCUCUAAAGAUACUGCCGUUUCCCCUCUUCAAUGUACCUGUUAGUUACACACAAGAAAUUGUGGACUUCUCCUAGCAGGAAUAGUGGGACUUUUAUUUAGUCACAGUAGUUUACCCAUGAAAGGAAUCAAAGUUCAUACAGAAGUCAUAUAAACAAUGAUUAGGCAGUGAAAUUGCUGUCAUGGAAAAAGUGCUUUUAGAGGACUGAGUUAGCCAGAGUCAAGCUAACACCAUGAAAUACUGCAAACUGUCAGUUUGGGAGACUAGGCCUAAAUUUCUGUUUUCCCAAAAUGGAAAAGUCCAGGAAAAAAAUAUCCCUCAUGGGCAGCCCAUCAGGAGCUGUCAGAAGCUGCCCCACCACCUAACUUGAGCCAAAUAUAGUUAAUCAGCAAAGGUCCUCCAAAUCUGCCGGAGCUAUAACCAAUUACAAAAGCAGCUAUACCCCUGGAGAUAGAGCCAAACAAUCAAGGGAAAGAAAAGUAUAUCGCCCACUUCUACCCUAACAGGCUUUUAAUUGACCCUGAAAAGCCACACCUCUACCUUCCAUCCUGAUGUAUGGUAGACCCCUGCAUGCUGGUUCUACAGAAUAAAUGUUCUUUGCUAUUGCAUACAGUUUGAGUCUACAGCAUCAUUCUUCGUGAAUCACUUUGACUGAAGCCAUCUAGGAAAGGCUAUGGCAAGAAAAUGAGUUGUGUUAAGAUGGCCCACCAUCUUGCAUGACUGUGACGCAGAGUCCUGAGAAAAUUCAUGCCAGUAUUGUUUCUUGCUGCGGACAUGUCUUUCCUGCCAGGAUUACAUAGCCUAAUGAUUCCUGGCCAUCAGUCCACCCUAAUGGGCAAAUUUCCUGCAGGUCAACAUGAAGAUGAAUUUUCAUGAAUUAAUGUUGUUUAGAAGAAUUAAUGACUUCAUAGAAUUCCUAGUUUGAUUCAAAUAAUUUUAGGAAGAAUGUUUAAGGAGAUGGUUUUAAUUAUUUUGCCAAAAAAAAUGAAUAAAGUUAGAAUCAAGAAUAAAAUGUGCCCCCUCUUCAUACAGUAGUUGAAUAAAGGCUGCAUAAUAAGGAAUGCAAUGAGAUAUUCUAAAGUGCACUAUGAAUUGAAAUAGGCUUGAGACAGAUUUUUAAUUAAGGAACAACAUUCAUUCCAGGUCAUAUUCAAGGAUGAAGCCACAGGUGUGCAGUAUGAUAAAGCAAGGCCAUGUGAAACUGUUGUUUGAACUUAUGAGCUUAUAAAAUGCUUUGAACUUAUUGUCAACAUCCUGCAACUCCCCUUUUGUGUAACAUUUUUUCUGUGAAGUAACUUUUCCUUAGAGAACCAUUUGUACAAAAAACUAUAAAAAGCUCAAACAAGGGCUAGAGAGAUGGCUCAGAGGUUAAGAGCACUGACUGCUCUU